rnacentral:rRNA from 1 species
CCUACGGGUGGCAGCAGUGAGGAAUAUUGGUCAAUGGACGCAAGUCUGAACCAGCCAUGCCGCGUGCAGGAAGACGGCUCUAUGAGUUGUAAACUGCUUUUGUACGAGGGUAAAAGCAGAUACGCGUAACUGUCUGAAAGUAACGUACGAAUAAGGAUCGGCUAACGCCGUGCCAGCAGCCGCGGUAAUACGGAGGAUUCAAGCGUUAUCCGGAUUUAUUGGGUUUAAAGGGGGCGUAGGCGGUCGGAUAAGUUAGAGGUGAAAUCCCGAGGCUCAACUUAGGAAUUGCCUCUGAUACUGUUCGGCUAGAGCGUAGUUGCGGUAGGCGGAAUGUCUGGUGUAGCGGUGAAAUGCUU